rnacentral:rRNA from 1 species
ACAAGUACCGUGAGGGAAAGAUGAAAAGCACUUUGGAAAGAGAGUUAAAAGUACGUGAAAUUGUCGAAAGGGAAGCACUUGAAGUCAGCCAUGCUGCUUGAGACUCAGCCUGGCUUUUGCUUGGUGUAUUUCUCGGUAGCAAGCCAGCAUUGGUUUGUGUCGUCGGAGAAGCGUAUGGGGAAUGUGGCAUCCUCGGAUGUGUUAUAGCCCUGUGCAGGAUACGACGACGUAGACCAAGGAACGCAGUGUGCCCUCUGGGCGGGUCUUCGGACACCUUCACACUUAGGAUGCUGGCGUAAUGGCUUUAAGUGGCCCGUCUUGGAACACGGACCAAGGAGUCUAACAUGUGUGCGAGUUUUUGGGUGGCAAACCCAUGAGCGUAAUGAAAGUGAAUGCAGGUGGGAUCCGCAAGGAGCACCAUCGACCGACCAUGUCCCUUCGGGGUAAAGGUUUGAGUGUGAGCAUUUAUGUUGGGACCCGAAAGAUGGUGAACUAUGCCUGAAUAGGGCGAAGCCAGGGGAAACUCUGGUGGAGGCUCGUAGGGAUUCUGACGUGCAAAUCGAUCUUCAAAUUUGGGUAUAGGGGCGAAAGACUAAUCGAACCAUCUGGUAGCUGGUUCCUGCCGAAGUUUCCCUCAGGAUAGCA